UAAAAGCUUAGGAAUUACAUAGAAAAAAUCUCAAGCUCUUAAAUGUAUGAAGUAAUGAAAACAUUUAAAACCUUUCUGCCUGGAUUGUCAGUUAACUCAGUUCCUCCAUACUUAACAGGUCCUAACAAAUACUGAAUCCUCAUUGAAAAAAUUGUCAGAUUUUUUGCAUUUAUAAAGAACCUCAUCCAAUCCAUCUAACUAAAGAUGAAUCUCUUACAAUACCUCCAAUAACUGCUUAAUUAGCAUUUCUGUCAAACACCUCAAAUUUACCAUGUGUAGUUACCCCCAAAAACUCAUCCUCUCAAAUAUUUAAUCACCACCUUCAACUCAGUAAGGGCAUUGUAGGUAAAAUUAAUAAUAUCCCCUAAAACGCACCACUCAACAAAUACUGUUUAUUUUUAUCUGAAACAAAUUGUUUCCUGAAAUCCUUUAAGUGCUUCCUACAGAUAAGCCUUUAUCUUUCCUUUCUCUUUCCUUUUGACUUAGCUAUUCCAGCCAGGCCUGAGGGGCAGGUAUCAUCUAGUUAAUGUUCACCUACAUACUCUGUACCAAAAUCACCAAUAUCUAUGUCUUCACCGCUGCCCCUCUUACAUUUUUCUCUGAGAAGACCAACUUCCCCUCCAAGCCCUCUAAUGUCUCUUCAUCUGUAGAAUACAUUCAGUCUGUCACCUCAUUUCCUACUACUCUCCUCCUUGUUCACC
rnacentral:lncRNA from 10 species